AGGAGAGUAGUUUAAUGUAGAACUCCGGUCUCCAAAACCGAUGUAGAUGAUGGGUUCAAGUCCCUCCUCUCCUGCCA
rnacentral:tRNA from 1 species